AGCGAACGCUGGCGGCAGGCUUAACACAUGCAAGUCGAGCGGGCAUCCUUGUGGUGUCAGCGGCAGACGGGUGAGUAACGCGUGGGAACGUGCCCUUCGUUUCGGAAUAACUCAGGGAAACUUGAGCUAAUACCGGAUACGUGCGAGAGCAGAAAGGUUUAUCUGCCGAAGGAUCGGCCCGCGUCUGAUUAGCUAGUUGGUGAGGUUACGGCGCACCAAGGCGACGAUCAGUAGCUGGUCUGAGAGGAUGAUCAGCCACACUGGGACUGAGACACGGCCCAGACUCCUACGGGAGGCAGCAGUGGGGAAUAUUGGACAAUGGGGGCAACCCUGAUCCAGCCAUGCCGCGUGAGUGAUGACGGCCUUAGGGUUGUAAAGCUCUUUUCUCCGGGACGAUAAUGACGGUACCGGAGGAAUAAGCCCCGGCUAACUUCGUG
rnacentral:rRNA from 1 species